GAUGAACGCUGGCGGCGUGCCUAAUACAUGCAAGUCGAGCGAACAGACGAGGAGCUUGCUCCUCUGACGUUAGCGGCGGACGGGUGAGUAACACGUGGAUAACCUACCUAUAAGACUGGGAUAACUUCGGGAAACCGUAGCUAAUACCGGAUAAUAUAUUGAACCGCAUGGUUCAAUAGUGAAAGACGGUUUUGCUGUCACUUAUAGAUGGAUCCGCGCCGCAUUAGCUAGUUGGUAAGGUAACGUCUUACCAAGGCAACGAUGCGUAGCCGACCUGAGAGGGUGAUCGGCCACACUGGAACUGAGACACGGUCCAGACUCCUACGGGAGGCAGCAGUAGGGAAUCUUCCGCAAAGGGCGAAAGCUUGACGGAGCAACGCCGCGUGAGUGAUGAAGGUCUUCGGAUCGUAAAACUCUGUUAUUAGGGAAGAACAAAUGUGUAAGUAACUAUGCACGUCUUGACGGUACCUAAUCAGAAAGCCACGGCUAACUACGUG
rnacentral:rRNA from 1 species